UCAGAUGUUUGAUACACUGUAAAAAGUGAACAUGGGUCUAAGUUGGAUUACUAGAACUAUUUGAGUCUAUUUACUUCGUAUUUCUGCUUUCCUAAUCGUAAUUGAUUAUUGUACACUCAUUCAACUUGAGCGCAUAGAAAUUCACAGACACUCAAAUAUUUCACUUUCACCCAAAGUAUAAUUUCCCUUUAAAAGGAUCUCCGCGCCAGACGUUUUUUUCUGACGUCAUGACGCACGAGCCUGAUUUCAACUUCUGUUGCUCAACUGACAACCGCCAUUUUUUCUCUCCGCACUCGGAUGAAAAAGAAUCAAAAGCUUUUUAAAUAUUUGACGACUGAGGAGGACACUUUGCUAUAACGUUAAGGUACAUGGAUCGUGUCGAGCCCUUUGAAGCUCCACUGAAACUGCAAUUUGGACCUUCAACCUGUUGACUGAAAACAUUCACGUGAAAAGAGUGUGUCCUGAAGGCCCUCAUCGUUUUCCUGGGGAAAUCCUCAAGAUCUUAUCAAGGAGUACCUUGAGAACCAGCAAGAUGAUUGCGAGGGUGAGCUGGAGCAGUUCACCAUGGCAGUGUAUGUUAUUCGGAAGGAGGGGGGACAUCACAAACCACCGGCUGACAUAGGUGUCGUCAUCAAGGCUGUCAAAGUUCUGAAUGAGCUGCCUUCAUUCACAUCAGCUUGUGCCUUGCUUCUCGGGAUGAUAUACAUCAACAAUCUGGCUUAUCCAAAACCACUUCGGUUUACAUUCGAGGUAUUCCAGAAAGUUCUCUUGCAGCUCGAUCAGCACAAGAUGUCACCAAAAGUUCAAAGUCUUUUCAGGAGACUACAGUGUACUUGCAGUAAUGUUUGAAUGUGCAUGUGUUUGAAAGAAUGUCUCUGUUUUAGUUGGAUGUUUCAUGUGUUCUUAUUGUAAGACUAUCCAUUUGUUCAGUCAUAUGUCUAGUGUGUAGUUGAUUGGUUCCCUUUACAUU